UUAGGGGGAAACCCUCGAAGCUGUGACUGUCCCUUUCCUGUCUUGUGCCAACCCUAACUGACCAAACGAGCUCUUUUUUAAGAGGCGAGAGGGUUGCGGGGGGUGGCAGCGACGCAAAGCCUCCAGCCUCCACAUUUGCCAAGCUAACUUGCAGCAAGAGCUGUCUAAUUUAGGGGGUGGGGACUAGGGUGCUUCCUUAAACAGCAAGGAGCGCGCGAGAGGUUGGGCACAGGAGGGUGCGUUUCCCCUGUCCGCCCGUGGCCGCGGCGUCCGGGCAGCCGAGAGGCAGCCGCUCGCCUCCUGGAUGUGUCAUUAGCACGUGGGGCUGCGCCGUGCGAACUUUCGAAGGGUAUUUGUCUCCAACUUGGACGGAAACUCCGCGGAAUCGGAAACGUUUCUGAAUGGUGCAAGGAUCCAGUCGCCUCUUUCUGGUUUGGUGGGGUGGUUCCCCCCUCCCCCUUCUACUUGUCGGGUUGGGAUUUUUCGCCCCCCCCCCCCCCAUAUCCUGGGCAAAUGUAACAGAUUUUUGUUUUUAAUGGGAAAUGUUGUCACGUCCCGGUUGCACGAUGUUUUUUUUUUUUUACAAGGGCAAAGAGGAAGGGUGGGAAAAAAUCCUCAACGUGGUCAAAUACCAGCUUAAAUAUCCGCCUUCUAGCGAAUGGGCGGGGGGGGAGGGGGUUACCCAUUGCUUCUCUCCACUUCAUUGUCAAGUCUUUGCCGUCCGUAAUUGGGAGACCUGCUUGUCUGAGGAUAGGGCAGGGCACGAAGAGCCCCCCCACCCCCCGUGUCCUGUGCCCACCACCCCGAGAGAAGGGCCCCACUCCCAUGAAGUUCCCCUGGAGACUAUAUAGGACCUUCACUGCUCACCCAGCCUAGGAAGGCUCUUUCCACACAGCAGUGCUUCCCUGUUGCUGGGUCGAGUGGACCUGAAGUUCAGUUCCAGCAUUGAAGACACAAGUGACAACGCGUUUGAAAUGAGUUGGUACAUGUAAUAACGUGAAUCCUGGACCUUCCAGGUCAGAGCUUGGCCACAAUGCCAAGUUUGGGCACCAGCUCCCCACUCUCUACCCGUCUCUGGACAGAGGAGCUCAGUCGAAUGUGAAUUCAAUAGAGUUCCAUGAGGAGGCAGUUAAUCACUUUUUUCAUGAUGAAGGGUCAGUCAAGUCCAGAAUCUUGUCUCUGUACUAUACUGUUCAGAGGAAGGAGAAGAAACCUCCUAGUGGACAAGUAUGGAAUUAUCUACCUAUCAAGGAUAUUUCUUUCUAAUCCCCAUGCUGCCCCUGUUGGCCUACACCAGGAGUUGGCGACCUUUCACAAGUGGUGUGCCAAGUCUUCAUUUAUUCACUUUAAUUUAAGGUUUCGCGUGCCGGUAAAACAUUUUAAUGUUUUUCAGAAGGUCUUUCGCUAUAAGUCUAUAUAUUAUAUAACUAAACUAUUGUUAUAUUGUAAAAUAAACAAGGUUUUCAAAAUG